ACUGCCUUCCCCUGUUUUGUUGUCGACGAUUUGACGCCGGGCGUCCCGACGUCACUUUCAUCCUGCCGACACAAUUUUUUUAUACUUAUAUCAAACCAAUAUUUUUUUUUAUUUAUUUAUUUAUAAUUAUAUUUUAUUUUUUGGCUUAUUUUUUACAACAUAUUUUACAAUCACAUCAAUCUUUUUGGCAGACAAGGGUUCACCAAGUCUGCCAAUGUUGCAGUGUUUGUAGAUCAGUGUAUGAAAGAUGCUACAAGAAAAAAAAAAUAUAUACCGUCCGCCAUCUCGGUGUAAUCAGACACCGUUGGUAAAAAUAAAAAUGUAUUUUUCAGAAGAAUAAAAAGGAGAUAUUGAAUGUAAUUGAAAACAGAAAGAUCGUCUCUUGUGUGAUCUAUGCCGCGACUUGUUACCGCACGCGCGAUCAUCUUAUAUUCAAACCGGUGUCUUUCAUUACUCAAUUUAUAUUUUUUUUUUUUGUUAAAUUUUGCUUUAAAAUCAUCUACGUAUUUUUCCUUUUAACCCAAUUAUAUUCAUUUAAUUUUUUAACAAAUAAUUUUCCACUUGGAAAAAUUAAAAAUAAAUAUAUAAAGUCGAAAAGUUUUAAAAAAAACAACAAACAAAUGAUAAAUAUAAUCCUUUGAAUUUUGUUUAAAAAAAUUUUUGUAUGUCCAUUGGUUUUUUAAGUAGGUGUAAAUACUGUAGACGAGCUAAA